CGGGCAAGUGGCGGGCGGCGCCGCUGCCGCAGUGGACGGCCGGGGCGAACGCGCAGGGCGACUGGGGCGGCUCGGCGUUCGCCGUGACCGACCA
rnacentral:tRNA from 1 species